CCUACGGGGUGCUGCAGUGGGGAAUAUUGGACAAUGGGCGAAAGCCUGAUCCAGCCAUGCCGCGUGUGUGAAGAAGGCCUUCGGGUUGUAAAGCACUUUCAGUGGGGAAGAAAGCCUUGGGGCUAAUACCCUCGAGGAAGGACAUCACCCACAGAAGAAGCACCGGCUAACUCCGUGCCAGCAGCCGCGGUAAUACGGAGGGUGCGAGCGUUAAUCGGAAUUACUGGGCGUAAAGCGCGCGUAGGCGGUCUGAUAAGCCGGUUGUGAAAGCCCCGGGCUCAACCUGGGAACGGCAUCCGGAACUGUCAGGAUAGAGUGCAGGAGAGGAAGGUAGAAUUCCCGGUGUAGCGGUGAAAUGCGUAGAGAUCGGGAGGAAUACCAGUGGCGAAGGCGGCCUUCUGGACUGACACUGACGCUGAGGUGCGAAAGCGUGGGUAGCAAACAGGAUUAGAUACCCUAGUAGUC
rnacentral:rRNA from 1 species